GAUGAACGCUGGCGGCGUGCCUAAUACAUGCCAGUCGAGCGAACGGACGAGAAGCUUGCUUCUCUGAUGUUAGCGGCGGACGGGUGAGUAACACGUGGAUAACCUACCUAUAAGACUGAGAUAACUUCGGGAAACCGGAGCUAAUCCCGGAUAAUAUUUUGCACCGCAUGGUUCAAAAGUGAAAGACGGUCUUGCUGUCACUUAUAGAUGGAUCCGCGCUGCAUUAGCUAGUUGGUAAGGUAACGGCUUACCAAGGCAACGAUGCAUAGCCGACCUGAGAGGGUGAUCGGCCACACUGGAACUGAGACACGGUCCAGACUCCUACGGGAGGCAGCAGUAGGGAAUCUUCCGCAAUGGGCGAAAGCCUGACGGAGCAACGCCGCGUGAGUGAUGAAGGUCUUCGGAUCGUAAAACUCUGUUAUUAGGGAAGAACAUAUGUGUAAGUAACUGUGCACAUCUUGACGGUACCUAAUCAGAAAGCCACGGCUAACUACGUG
rnacentral:rRNA from 1 species